CACCAGUGCAGCCGGCGCAGGCCAGCGACCAGGCACCACAACCAGUGCCACCAUCAAUUGUCGCCCCUGCCGCACCGGCUGCCAACUGUGCGCCACCGGCCGCAUGUGAGCCAGCAGCUGCCCAAGCUGGCCAUGAUAGUGGGAUAGUGGGUUGCAAGGAUGUACAAUCCGUUAGUGUGCAAAAUGCCAACCACCGAAGUCUUAAGAACUUUAGGCAGCCUCCUUGCUUCACAGGAGUGCCCAGUACCUCGGUCACAAAACCUGAAAUCUGGUUUGAUACUACCGUUGACUACAUGACGCGAUCGGGCAGCAAUCCCAUAAUGGGCAUGCGAUAUUAUGUUAUGGGCAAAGCUGCAGAGUGGUACCAUGACCUAUUCACACACAAAGGCUCCAUGCUCACAAUUCAGGGCAUGUGUGACGACUUUGUGUUGCUUUUCAGUGAUGUGCGCCGCUGCACCCCUCACCAUGUAUGAAUGCAACUACUGGCCGGCAUACACACAAUGAAACCUGGCGAGUCCAUACCGAAUUAUGUGCAACGGUUUCGUGGAAUUAUGCGUGGCGACCCUAACAUGUCUCAAAUUGACUUGUGCACUUGGCUUGUUUAUGGUACGCCACCGCAACUGCGGCAGGAAUGCGCCACGGAUGCCAACGGCAAUAACUGGUUUGCAUUCGACACAUUAAUUAACUUUGCCCAAGGUGCACAAACGAGCCACAAGGCAGGCAAGGUGCAAACAGCAUGACUUAACUUUUUAGCCACUAAUGAUGCCCCUGCACAACCCCGACAGAAUGGCGGCCACGGCAAGCACACCCAACCGGGUGGAUACAGCCACUGGGCCGACUACAACCACCUGGUCUGGUCUGGGUUGACACUACUGCAAGAACUUUUUAGCCACUAAUGAUGCCCCUGCACAACCCUGACAGAAUGGCGGCCACGGCAAGCACACCCAACCGGGUGGAUACAGCCACUGGGCCGACUACAACCACCUGGUCUGGUCUGGGUUGACACUACUGCAAGUAGCGGUUUAAGGUCCUGGGUUCGAUUCCUGGGGAGACCCCCGAAUUAGUCGGGAGCGCGAGAUUAUGGCUAGCUGCUGAGAUUUGGAGUUGAGGUCACAUUUGAUGGACCAGAUUCGCACGCUGGAUUGGUGGCGAUUGCCGAACCCUCUGUCUCUUAGGGUGUUCGGGUGAAUGGAUGAGGAGGGGUCCCUGAAGGCUGGAUCCGCCGCCUUGGACUUACAGUUCGUAUGGCGAAGUACAGUGUGGUAGUGGUGGAUGGUGCUAUAAGGUGAUAAAUGAUCUAGAACUGACAAUGUGAUAAAGCGGCCCAGAAGCCUCCCACUCUGUAACAUUACAUUACAUUACAUCACAACCACCAAGGUGGCCGCUACGGAGGCCGCGGUGGCAGUUGUGGUGGCGCCUAUGGCGGCCGUGGCCGAGGCAGCAACAUGGAAAUGCCGACAUGGGUUCGGGAGAUGGUGAAGGAAAAGAACAUCUAUCAUUGUGGACAGCCCUUUGGCAAGGGCCACCACUGCGGCAAAUGGCGGCGUUACAACAAGGACCGCAAAAAAAAUGCGGUUGCCUAGGAAGUUGCCCACAUCAUAGCCUCAGGCAGCUCGUGUGGGGAGCCGAUGGACAUAGAGGAACCAACCCGGAAUCCACCAACGGUGGACUGUAGCCACUGUGUGCUUCGUUCAGUGUUUCUGCAUCUGCAGAAGGCCCCGGGUCGGGUGUUCGUGAUCGAUGCAUCCUGUAACAUAUGAAGCGAC
rnacentral:lncRNA from 1 species